UGCCGGGGCGACUGGAACACAACAUGGCGGCCUGAGCGGAGCACCGGGAGCGGGGCCGGGUCGGGCCCGGCUGCUGAUCCGCCAGCCCCGGCACCGGCGGGACGGCGCGGGAGGCACAGUAAGAGGGGAUGAAAGCCCUGGCUCCCUUUCACUGGUAUGUGAAUUUAUGGCCAUGACUAUUUAUGAGCUGAUAAAAGUACAGAAAUGGGAUAUUUCAGAGCGAUGGGCAACAAGAAAACAUAAUAAUGAAGCAGAACAGCCUGAAGUUAAGGGAAUUUGGAUCUUGUAGGAGUAUCUGUUCUCAGCAGGCACACAGUUCCUCCAUGUUUGCUUACAAAAGGGCUCUGUAGCUACAGAAUUGGCAUGUGGAGUCCUGACUGUGUUUUCUAUGAAAUCACAAGAAGAAGCUUCUGUGCUUAGUGUGCUUCUCUUAACUUCAGUCAUCCCAUCUGGUCUGGCACUCCCUUCACCCUGUGCCAGUUUCCAGUCUCUUUUUCUUGGAUACAAUAAGCUGGACCACAUCUCAAAAAUCCAUGAAGUGGUAGGCACUCCUGGUAACAAAACUCCAAAAGUUCAAGCACAAACUUUCAGAAUCUCAACAGCAAGAAUGGAAAAAACAUCCCAGCCUUGGCAAGAACUUGUAUAGAGAAGACUAAAGCACUUGGACAAGGCUCUGCAGGGAAACCUCUAUUGCUGCUACCUGCACUAGGUGUGCCAAAGGAAGGGCAGAUUUCUCUUACUAGGACUGAACAAAUACAAGAGUUUUGCUGGAGGAAGUGCUUUACACCAGUAAAGUGAGAAAACUGUAACAAGGGGAAACAGCAGAACACAAGGGUACAGCUAACUGCUUCUUGUCAUGUUAUUGAAACUCCUGCUGCAUGGAUGCUGCUUUCCUCCAGUUCCAAGCAAAAAAUGUUCUCCUGAACACAGUAUCUCCAAGCAGAGUGACUGGCUGAGGUUUCCUGCUCUGUUACAUUUCAGUGAAUCAUCUCCCCACAUCUGUAUGCUUUCAUGUUAGCAGCUCAUACUGAUAGAACAGAGAAAUUCAACAGUAAGGCAAUACAUUAUUUGUCUCAAUACUUACCAUAGGGACUUUUUAUAGACAGACAGAUUAGAUAGAUAUGUGAAAAGUAUGAUGCUACACUUAGAAAAUGAAAUUAAGGACUGCAGGUCUGUAGGCAGGCAACACAGUGCAACAGCAACCUCCAAGUUCUUACCUUUGGAACACUGAGCAAAAGGUGCCAUGAGCUUCUCCAGUGUUUUUUCCAGAGAGGAAGAUGGUGGAUCUUACUCAGUUUGGCACAUACAGUACUUCAAGGAUAUUGAUUUCCUAACAAGUUCCUUGCUGUUAAACCUCUGGAGACAAUUACACUUCUCUGGCUGUUGGAUGAACAGGCAAACUUGAGUUUUCCCACCUGCUUUAUAGUUAAAAUGCACCCAAACUUUAAACUACAAACUGGCAAGUAUAGCUCCUACCCUCAUUCUUCCAGCUAAAAUUCCAUAAUGAGAUUAUCUGUGUUCUGCUCACUUUUAAUUAUUUUUUUAAUGUAGUAGGAGAAAUAUUUUUAUUAAAAGCUGUAUCUACAGUAGAGGUCUUAUGUUCCUUCCAGGUAAGUUAUUAGUACCCUGUUUCUUAAUAAAAUAAUUUUCUACCAUAUGGAAUAGAGUGUGGUAUGGGCAAUUCAAGUUUCUAGAUGAUUGCUAUUGAUGAUAAUUUCUUUCUUCUUUACUGUUGAUGAUAAUAGUAAAGAAGAGGCUGAGAAAAGAAACCCCCCCACACAUUCCUUGUGUGCUGCUGGACUACAAUUUGUGGCAGGGACAUUCCCUGCCAGCCCAGAUGGGAGCAGCUGCUGCUGCUCCCCUGGUGUUGGAUAUUGCAAUUCUUUCCCUACUGGUUUUGUAUUUUUCCAGCUGAAGGAAAAAAGUCUUUUAAAGUUACUGCAUAUUUUUUCAACUGUUUCAUUUUGACUCAGUCCAUAUGAAGCAGUUAUCUACAAGAAGUCUAUGGGGAGAUAACUACACUAGUUUUCAGUGAUGAGGUUUAUCUGUAUUUUAACAGUUAAGCCCACUAUGUUAAUAAAACAAAACUUCUGAAAAAUAA